rnacentral:lncRNA from 1 species
GGGAUCGGCGCCGCCAGCUGCUCCGGAGUCAGGUUCCCAAACUCCUCCGCUAGCACGUCCAUGCUGCUCACGAAGGAGGAAGAAACAGAUAGAACCUCCGCGCCCGCCUUCCCUGCACCAAGCAAACUGCAAGACUCCCGGCGAACGGUGCGCGGAGGCCUAAACUGUCCCCGCCGUGCGUGUUAGCUAGAGACGCGGUAGAAAGGUUCCGCCCGCUCCCUGCCCGAAUCUGCGGUGGAACCCGGAUGUGGCCGAGGCCGAGUAAGGAAAGUACGCCCUCUGGUGUAGCUCGGAGGUCUGGCGCAGGGAAUCCUAAGCCCCAGCUGUCAGGUUUCUUGCCAAUUCUCUGGUAAUUGAGACCAGCAAAACAUAGUGGUUGUCAUUUUAAAAGUAAUCCGAAGAAAAGUGUAAACGCAUAAUUUACGCAACUUGAACCACUGAGGCAGAGAAUUAUUUAAUGUAGUCCAAAAUUCUAUGCAUUGUUUAGUAUGGAAGAGCAGGAAACGUCCCAAAUGCCUACCAAUAGAAGAUUGAUUAAAUAAAUGAUGGUACAUGCGUGUAAUGGAAGAGUGUUGAAAAUUCUCAAAAGCACUAGAUGGAAGAUGUAGGAGUAAAUACCCAGCGCAUGGAGAAAUUUAAUAUGAAAAGAUGACAUUUACGUUAGUAGGGGAAGGAUGGCCUGUCCAGUAAAUAAUGUUUGAAGAGCUGAUUACCCAUUUGGGGAAAAAAUACAUGUAAGUGAAUCUUUUGUGGAUUAAAUAUUGAAAUGUUAACAAAAACUUAGAAGAAAAUGUAAGUGCAGAUAUUCAUAACAUUGAGAUGUUGAAGACUUUCAAGACGGCAACAGUCAAAUCAUAAAGGAUUUUAUAAUCUAAACACGAUUUUAUGAUUCCACGGAAAAUUUUUAAUUUUCUGAACAGAUUUUAAAAAAUCACCAACAAAUAGAAUUAAUAAAAAAUAAAUUGGCA